rnacentral:rRNA from 1 species
UGACCACAAGUUCAACGGCCGCGGUAUUUUGACCGUGCAAAGGUAGCGCAAUCACUUGUCUUUUAAAUAGAGACCUGUAUGAAUGGCUAAACGAGGGCUUAACUGUCUCCCUUUUCAGGUCAGUGAAAUUGAUCUACCCGUGCAGAAGCGGGUAUAACAAUACAAGACGAGAAGACCCUUUGGAGCUUAAGGUACAAAACUCAACCACGUCAAGCAACUUAACAAAAAAUAAAAACUUUGUGAAACAUGAGAUUUUACCUUCGGUUGGGGCGACCGCGGAGGAGAAAAAAGCCUCCAAGUGGACCGGGACAAACUCCUAAAACCAAGAGAAACAUCUCUAAGCCACAGAACAUCUGACCAAACAUGAUCCGGCCACCAGGACCGAUCAACGAACCAAGUUACCCUAGGGAUAACAGCGCAAUCCCCUCCCAGAGUCCAUAUCGACGAGGGGGUUUACGACCUCGAUGUUGGAUCAGGACAUCCUAAUGGUGCAGCCGCUAUUAAGGGUUCGUUUGUUCAACGAUUAAAGUCCUACGUGAUC